AGCUGCAGCAGUGAGCAGGAAACAGCUGCAGCUCUCUGACUCUGUGUGUUUGCAUACAUGUGUCCUCCUCUCUGCUUCCAGCCAUAAGAGGCUGCUGUCCAUCAGUGGCUGUCCAGGCCUUUCACACACACAUGAUGAUGUCACUGACUCUGCUGCUGGCCACCCUGGGGCUCCUUGUUCAGGCCUCAUCAGGAGAAAUCCUCCUGACUCAGUCUCCUGGAUCUCAGUCUGUUGUUCCAGGACAGACUGUCUCCAUCAGCUGUAAAGCCAGUUCAUUUGUUAAUAUCUUCCUCCACUGGUACCUUCAGAAACCUGGAGAAGCUCCUAAACUCCUGAUGUAUAGAGUUUUAAACCGUCAGUCUGGAGUUUCAGAUCGUUUCAGUGGAAGUGGAUCUAAAACUGACUUCACUCUGACCAUCAGUGGAGUUCAGGCUGAAGAUUCAGGUUUUUACUACUGUCAGCACAGUUACAACUACCCGUUCACACAGUGA